UACGAAGGGGGCUAGCGUUGCUCGGAAUUAUUGGGCGUAAAGGGCGCGUAGGCGGGCCUUUAAGUCAGGGGUGAAAUCCUGGAGCUCAACUCCAGAACUGCCUUUGAUACUGAGGAUCUUGAGUUCGGGAGAGGUGAGUGGAACUGCGAGUGUAGAGGUGAAAUUCGUAGAUAUUCGCAAGAACACCAGUGGCGAAGGCGGCUCACUGGCCCGAUACUGACGCUGAGGCACGAAAGCGUGGGGAGCAAACAGG
rnacentral:rRNA from 1 species